rnacentral:rRNA from 1 species
GAUGUGAAAGCCUUCGGCUUAACCGAAGAAGUGCAUUAGAAACUGGGAAACUUGAGUGCAGAAGAGGACAGUGGAACUCCAUGUGUAGCGGUGAAAUGCGUAGAUAUAUGGAAGAACACCAGUGGCGAAGGCGGCUGUCUGGUCUGUAACUGACGCUGAGGCUCGAAAGUAUGGGGAGCGAACAGGAUUAGAUACCCUGGUAGUCCAUACCGUAAACGAUGAAUGCUAAGUGUUGGAGGGUUUCCGCCCUUCAGUGCUGCAGCUAACGCAUUAAGCAUUCCGCCUGGGGAGUACGACCGCAAGGUUGAAACUCAAAGGAAUUGACGGGGGCCCGCACAAGCGGUGGAGCAUGUGGUUUAAUUCGAAGCAACGCGAAGAACCUUACCAGGUCUUGACAUCCUUUGACCACUGUAGAGAUACAGCUUUCCCUUCGGGGACAAAGUGACAGGUGGUGCAUGGUUGUCGUCAGCUCGUGUCGUGAGAUGUUGGGUUAAGUCCCGCAACGAGCGCAACCCUUAUGACUAGUUGCCAGCAUUUAGUUGGGCACUCUAGUAAGACUGCCGGUGACAAACCGGAGGAAGGUGGGGGAUGACGUCAAAUCAGCAUGCCCCUUAUGACCUGGGCUACACACGUGCUACAAUGGUCGGUACAACGAGUUGCGAACCCGCGAGGGUAAGCUAAUCUCUUAAAGCCGAUCUCAGUUCGGAUUGUAGGCUGCAACUCGCCUACAUGAAGCCGGAAUCGCUAGUAAUCGCGGAUCAGCACGCCGCGGUGAAUACGUUCCCGGGCCUUGUACACACCGCCCGUCACACCAUGAGAGUUUGUAACACCCGAAGUCGGUGGGGUAACCCUUUUAGGGAACUAGCCGCCUAAGGUGGGACAGAUGAUUGGGGUGA